GAUGAACGCUGGCGGCGCGCCUAAUACAUGCAAGUCGAGCGAACAGACGAGGAGCUUGCUCCUCUGACGUUAGCGGCGGACGGGUGAGUAACACGUGGAUAACCUACCUAUAAGACUGGGAUAACUUCGGGAAACCGGAGCUAAUACCGGAUAAUAUAUUGAACCGCAUGGUUCAAUAGUGAAAGACGGUUUUGCUGUCACUUAUAGAUGGAUCCGCGCCGCAUUAGCUAGUUGGUAAGGUAACGGCUUACCAAGGCAACGAUGCGUAGCCGACCUGAGAGGGUGAUCGGCCACCCUGGAACUGAGACACGGUCCAGACUCCUACGGGAGGCAGCAGUAGGGAAUCUUCCGCAAUGGGCGAAAGCCUGACGGAGCAACGCCGCGUGAGUGAUGAAGGUCUUCGGAUCGUAAAACUCUGUUAUUAGGGAAGAACAAAUGUGUAAGUAACUAUGCACGUCUUGACGGUACCUAAUCAGAAAGCCACGGCUAACUACGUG
rnacentral:rRNA from 1 species